CUUGCUAGAAAAUUCUCUCUUUUGGCUUUAAUGAAGCAAGUUGCUAUGUUGGAGAGGCCCACAUGGCAAGGAACUAAGGGUGACCUCCUGUCCGCAGCCACCAAGUAACCGAAGCCUGCAUUCCAACAGCCCAACGGAACUGAGUGCUGCCAACAAUCAUGUUACCUCACUGUCAAGAGAUGGCUGCUGGAGCUCGACCCAUCACUUUUGCCUUGUAGACAGCAGGAAGAAGGAAAGGAGAAUGUCACGCUGUGAAUACUUAUCAUCUCAGCAGAAACACAUGGGGACGAUGGCAUCUUCUAGGGCCUGCAGGGAUGCUCUCUCUCCCAGAGCCAUGUCACGCCUCCCAGGCCUCCAAGAGCCACUGGCAACUUGAGGGC